rnacentral:rRNA from 1 species
CCUACGGGAGGCAGCAGUGGGGAAUAUUGGGCAAUGGACGCAAGUCUGACCCAGCAACGCCGCGUGAAGGAAGAAGGUUUUCGGGUUGUAAACUUCUUUUAAUGGGGAAGAGCAGAAGACGUUACCACUUGAAUAAGCCACGGCUAACUACGUGCCACCAGCCGCGGUAAUAUGUAGGGGGCAAGCUUUUUCCGGAUUUAUUGGGUGUAAAGGUCGUGCAGCCGGAGAGACAAGUCAGAUGUGAAAUCCACGGGCUCAACCCGUGAACUGCAUUUGAAACUAUUUCCCUUGAGUGUAGGAGAGGAAAUCGGAAUUCCUUGUGUAGCGGUGAAAUGCGUAGAUAUAAGGAAGAACACCAGUGGCGAAGGCGGAUUACUGGACGAUAACUGACGGUGAGGCGCGAAAGCGUGGGGAGCAAACAGGAUUAGAUACCCGUGUAGUC